rnacentral:tRNA from 1 species
GGCGAGAUAGCUCAGCUGGUUAGAGCGCAUGAUUCAUAAUCAUGAGGUCCUGGGUUCAAUCCCCAGCCUCGCUA